rnacentral:rRNA from 1 species
AGAGACUGCAAGCGUUAUUSGGAUUCACUGGGCGUAAAGGGUGCGCAGGCGGCCGUGUGUGUGAGGCGUGAAAGCCCGGGGCUUAACCCCGGAAUUGCACCUCAAACUACACGGCUAGAGCAUUGGAGAGGGUAGCGGAAUUCACGGUGUAGCAGUGAAAUGCGUAGAUAUCGUGAGGAACACCAGAGGCGAAGGCGGCUACCUGGACAAUUGCUGACGCUCAGGCACGAAAGCGUGGGGAGCAAAAGGGAUUAGAUACCCCUGUAGUCCACGCCCUAAACGGUGCACACUAGGUCUUGGCGGAUUCGACCCCACCAGGGCCCAAGCUAACGCGUUAAGUGUGCCGCCUGAGGACUACGGCCGCAAGG